AUGAUCGCAGCAACGUCCGAGGUUCAAAAAUAGCCACGCAGUCGUCUGGCCUCUAUCGGUAUCCACUCAAGAAGGAUCUGGAUCAUCUUCUCCUUGCAAAUCUCUACUCCAAAAAUUAGAUUUGGAUCUGAUCUGAAAGAUCUUUAAAAGAUCUUCUGAAGCUGGAGCAGCAGCUUCUCUAUAAAUCCCUGCAACCUUCUGUUCAGAGAGCCACC
rnacentral:lncRNA from 1 species